rnacentral:rRNA from 1 species
AGCAGCCGCGGUAAUUCCAGCUCCAAUAGCGUAUAUUAAAGUUGUUGCAGUUAAAAAGCUCGUAGUUGAAUUUCGGGGUCAGUAGGUUGGUCAUGCCACUGGUAUGUACUGGUCUCACUGAUUCCUCCUUCCUGAUGAGCCGUAAUGCCAUUAAUUUGGUGUUGCGAGGAAUCUGGACUGUUACUUUGAAAAAAUUAGAGUGUUUAAAGCAAGCUAACGCUUGAAUACAUUAGCAUGGAAUAAUGAAAUAGGACGUUCGAUCCUAUUUUGUUGGUUUCUAGGAUUGACGUAAUGAUUAAUAGGGAUAGUUGGGGGCAUUAGUAUUCAAUUGUCAGAGGUGAAAUUCUUGGAUUUAUUGAAGACUAACUACUGCGAAAGCAUUUGCCAAGGAUGUUUUCAUUAAUCAAGAACGAAAGUUAGGGGAUCGAAGACGAUCAGAUACCGUCGUAGUCUUAACCAUAAACUAUGCCGACUAGGGAUCGGAUGAUGUAAUUUUUAAUGACUCAUUC